rnacentral:tRNA from 1 species
GUUAUUUUGGCAGAUUAGUGCGUUAGAUUUAGAAUCUUUUUAAGUAAAAUUUUACAUAUAACA